rnacentral:rRNA from 1 species
GAGUGGCGAACUGGUGAGUAACACGUGGGAAACCUGCCCAGAAGCGGGGGAUAACACCUGGAAACAGAUGCUAAUACCGCAUAACAACUUGGACCGCAUGGUCCGAGCUUGAAAGAUGGCUUCGGCUAUCACUUUUGGAUGGUCCCGCGGCGUAUUAGCUAGAUGGUGGGGUAACGGCUCACCAUGGCAAUGAUACGUAGCCGACCUGAGAGGGUAAUCGGCCACAUUGGGACUGAGACACGGCCCAAACUCCUACGGGAGGCAGCAGUAGGGAAUCUUCCACAAUGGACGAAAGUCUGAUGGAGCAACGCCGCGUGAGUGAAGAAGGGUUUCGGCUCGUAAAACUCUGUUGUUAAAGAAGAACAUAUCUGAGAGUAACUGUUCAGGUAUUGACGGUAUUUAACCAGAAAGCCACGGCUAACUACGUGCCAGCAGCCGCGGUAAUACGUAGGUGGCAAGCGUUGUCCGGAUUUAUUGGGCGUAAAGCGAGCGCAGGCGGUUUUUUAAGUCUGAUGUGAAAGCCUUCGGCUCAACCGAAGAAGUGCAUCGGAAACUGGGAAACUUGAGUGCAGAAGAGGACAGUGGAACUCCAUGUGUAGCGGUGAAAUGCGUAGAUAUAUGGAAGAACACCAGUGGCGAAGGCGGCUGUCUGGUCUGUAACUGACGCUGAGGCUCGAAAGUAUGGGUAGCAAACAGGAUUAGAUACCCUGGUAGUCCAUACCGUAAACGAUGAAUGCUAAGUGUUGGAGGGUUUCCGCCCUUCAGUGCUGCAGCUAACGCAUUAAGCAUUCCGCCUGGGGAGUACGGCCGCAAGGCUGAAACUCAAAGGAAUUGACGGGGGCCCGCACAAGCGGUGGAGCAUGUGGUUUAAUUCGAAGCUACGCGAAGAACCUUACCAGGUCUUGACAUACUAUGCAAAUCUAAGAGAUUAGACGUUCCCUUCGGGGACAUGGAUACAGGUGGUGCAUGGUUGUCGUCAGCUCGUGUCGUGAGAUGUUGGGUUAAGUCCCGCAACGAGCGCAACCCUUAUUAUCAGUUGCCAGCAUUAAGUUGGGCACUCUGGUGAGACUGCCGGUGACAAACCGGAGGAAGGUGGGGAUGACGUCAAAUCAUCAUGCCCCUUAUGACCUGGGCUACACACGUGCUACAAUGGAUGGUACAACGAGUUGCGAACUCGCGAGAGUAAGCUAAUCUCUUAAAGCCAUUCUCAGUUCGGAUUGUAGGCUGCAACUCGCCUACAUGAAGUCGGAAUCGCUAGUAAUCGCGGAUCAGCAUGCCGCGGUGAAUACGUUCCCGGGCCUUGUACACACCGCCCGUCACACCAUGAGAGUUUGUAACACCCAAA